rnacentral:rRNA from 1 species
CUGGCCUUGACAUGUCGAGAACUUUCCAGAGAUGGAUUGGUGCCUUCGGGAACAUUGAGACAGGUGCUGCAUGGCUGUCGUCAGCUCGUGUCGUGAGAUGUUGGGUUAAGUCCCGCAACGAGCGCAACCCUUAUCCUUUGCUGCCAGCGGUCCGGCCGGGAACUCAAAGGAGACUGCCGGUGAUAAACUGGAGGAAGGUGGGGAUGACGUCAAGUCAGCACGGCCCUGACGCCCUGGGCGACACACACGCUACAAUGGCCGGGACAGAGGGUCGCCAACCAGCGAUGGGGAGCCAAUCCCACAAACCCGGUCUCAGUUCGGAUCGGAGGCUGCAACCCGCCUCCGUGAAGUGGGAGUUGCUAGUAACCGUGGGUCAGCACACCACGGUGAAUACGUUCCC